GACCAGACUCCUACGGGAGGCAGCAGUGAGGAAUAUUGGUCAAUGGGAGAGAUCCUGAACCAGCCAAGCCGCGUGAGGGAAGACGGCCCUAUGGGUUGUAAACCUCUUUUGUCGGAGAACAAAACCCGGGACGAGUCCCGGACUGCGUGUGUCCGAAGAAAAAGCAUCGGCUAACUCCGUGCCAGCAGCCGCGGUAAUACGGAGGAUGCGAGCGUUAUCCGGAUUUAUUGGGUUUAAAGGGUGCGUAGGCGGGCUUUUAAGUCAGCGGUAAAAAUUCGGGGCUCAACCCCGUCCGGCCGUUGAAACUGGGGGCCUUGAGUGGGCGAGAAGUACGCGGAAUGCGUGGUGUAGCGGUGAAAUGCAUAGAUAUCACGCAGAACUCCGAUUGCGAAGGCAGCAUACCGGCGCCCGACUGACGCUGAGGCACGAAAGCGUGGGUAUCGAACAGGAUUAGAUACCCGGGUA
rnacentral:rRNA from 1 species